UUUAAUAUUUUUUUAUUAUAA
rnacentral:tRNA from 1 species